AAGCCGUGGUGUGGACAAUCUCUCUGAUAACCUUUGAAGCGUUCCCAUGAAGCCUUGAAUGCUUCGGUUGGAUCCUGAACAAAAGAGGAGAGUUUGGCUCUUAAGUCG
rfam:Arabis alpina cultivar Pajares chromosome 1, whole genome shotgun sequence.